UACGAAAGGUGCGAGCGUUGUUCGGAUUGACUGGGCGUAAAGCGCGUGUAGGCGGUUUGGUAAGUCGGUUGUGAAAGCCCCGAGCUCAACUUGGGAAUUGCAGCCGAAACUACCUUACUUGAAUGCUUGAGAGGUCUGUGGAAUUCCAGGUGUAGCAGUGAAAUGCGUAGAUAUCUGGAGGAACACCAGCGGCGAAGGCGGCAGACUGGCAGUGCAUUGACGCUGAGACGCGAAAGCGUGGGGAGCAAACAGG
rnacentral:rRNA from 1 species